rnacentral:rRNA from 1 species
UAAGGAAUAUUGGUCAAUGGACGCAAGUCUGAACCAGCCAUGCCGCGUGAAGGAUGAAGGUCCUCUGGAUUGUAAACUUCUUUUAUCUGGGACGAAAACGGGAUUUUUAUCUCAAUUGACGGUACCAGAGGAAUAAGCACCGGCUAACUCCGUGCCAGCAGCCGCGGUAAUACGGAGGGUGCGAGCGUUAUCCGGAUUUACUGGGUUUAAAGGGUGCGUAGGUGGGCUUAUAAGUCAGUGGUGAAAUCUCCGAGCUUAACUUGGAAACUGCCUUUGAUACUAUAAGUCUUGAAUUAUCUGGAGGUCAGCGGAAUAUGUCAUGUAGCGGUGAAAUGCUUAGAUAUGACAUAGAACACCAAUUGCGAAGGCAGCUUACUACAUAUAAAUUGACGCUGAGGCACGAAAGCGUGGGGAUCAGACA